rnacentral:misc_RNA from 1 species
AUGAAGAUAUCCAGAUUUUUAAAUUAUUUUGUUUUGUAUUAGUCUCUUUGUAUAUAUGUGUGUUCAAAGUUCAGUUACAUUAGAAUAGACCUCUUUACAAAUGAUUCAUUCUAUUGACAAAGUACAGCUUAAUGCCUGAUUUUCAAACUCUAAACGUGGUAUAUAUUGUGACCUUUUAAAGAUGAUUUACUUGAUCCAUAAAUCAGAUAGUUUAUCAAGAACCCUAUGUCUGUUUCACCAACGUUUUGAAUUUACAUUGUGAUAGAAUGUGUCCUAUUGUAAACCUCAUCGAUUUUAUUGGACAAAGAACGCUACACUACAUGAUUAAACAUCUUAUUCUAAAAUUUUGUCUUGUUUAAAACAUUUGGUAGAAAAAUAAUGCAAAAUUUUGUUGACUUUGGAUUGAUAAUCCAUAUUAUAUCUGAGGUAAACAAGAAGAUGCAGACUAUUUCUUUUUGUCUGCUAAAAUAUUUGUCAGUGCUUAUUUUAGUCUUGGUUUAGAUAUCAUAGAUAUGAAAUCUCGACUUUUGGGCACAAAAAUCGCUCCUAAGAAUUAGUUAGCGCCAGUUGUUCAUGAAUCUUGGUGAUUUCUGUAUGUUCAAAUAGUUGUAUUAUAUUAAUUAAAAAUGUAUAACUAUGUUAUUUUGAAUGGAUGACGACUGUUAUUGUUAAGAAAAUAAAAACUUGCUUUCAUCUUUUUGAAUGUUUGUAAAUAAAAUGUGAUUUAAGAAAAAAAAUCCAAUUAAAAUUAGACUCUAUACAUCU